AUGGCCGACGCGGGUGAAAGUGUAGUAUCUGUUCUUAUCAGCUUAAUAUCUGAUACGGGUGUUGUAUUUCGACCCAAGAUAUUAAGCUUAUUUUUGAAAGUUGGCGGAGUGCUUUAAGCCUGCUUCACCUCCGCCGCGGGUCAGCCCGGUAUUUCACCCUCUUCGGGAUCGACCCACGUUUU